rnacentral:rRNA from 1 species
CCGCUGAGUUUAAGCAUAUCACUAAGC